rnacentral:rRNA from 1 species
UAGCGGCGGACGGGUUAGUAACGCGUGGGAACGUACCCUUUUCUACGGAAUAGCCUCGGGAAACUGAGAGUAAUACCGUAUACGCCCUUUGGGGGAAAGAUUUAUCGGAGAAGGAUCGGCCCGCGUUAGAUUAGAUAGUUGGUGGGGUAAUGGCCUACCAAGUCUACGAUCUAUAGCUGGUUUGAGAGGAUGAUCAGCAACACUGGGACUGAGACACGGCCCAGACUCCUACGGGAGGCAGCAGUGGGGAAUCUUAGACAAUGGGCGCAAGCCUGAUCUAGCCAUGCCGCGUGAGUGAAGAAGGCCUUAGGGUCGUAAAGCUCUUUCGCCUGUGAAGAUAAUGACUGUAGCAGGUAAAGAAACCCCGGCUAACUCCGUGCCAGCAGCCGCGGUAAUACGGAGGGGGUUAGCGUUGUUCGGAAUUACUGGGCGUAAAGCGCGCGUAGGCGGACAUUUAAGUCAGAGGUGAAAUCCCAGGGCUCAACCCUGGAACUGCCUUUGAUACUGGGUGUCUUGAGUUCGAGAGAGGUGAGUGGAAUUCCGAGUGUAGAGGUGAAAUUCGUAGAUAUUCGGAGGAACACCAGUGGCGAAGGCGGCUCACUGGCUCGAUACUGACGCUGAGGUGCGAAAGUGUGGGGAGCAAACAGGAUUAGAUACCCUGGUAGUCCACACCGUAAACGAUGAAUGCCAGCCGUCGGGC